GGCAGCCAUGGUUGCAGUAGGCAGACGAGUCCUGUGCUCAGAUUGGAUUCCAUUUUAUACCCUAAGCCCAACCAGGAAGAAAGUGAAUUCUACUCACGUCGGAGCCCGAAUCUACAUGCAGAAGUGAUGGCUGUCACCAUGACGUAACCAUAAAACCACAAUAAGAGCUUUGCUCCUCA